rnacentral:rRNA from 1 species
GUGACUCGUCACACUAUCAUUAACUGAAUCCAUAGGUUAAUGAGGCGAACCGGGGGAACUGAAACAUCUAAGUACCCCGAGGAAAAGAAAUCAACCGAGAUUCCCCCAGUAGCGGCGAGCGAACGGGGAGGAGCCCAGAGCCUGAAUCAGCAUGUGUGUUAGUGGAAGCGUCUGGAAAGGCGCGCGAUACAGGGUGACAGCCCCGUACACAAAAGCGCAUGUGCUGUGAGCUCGAUGAGUAGGGCGGGACACGUGGUAUCCUGUCUGAAUAUGGGGGGACCAUCCUCCAAGGCUAAAUACUCCUGACUGACCGAUAGUGAACCAGUACCGUGAGGGAAAGGCGAAAAGAACCCCGGCGAGGGGAGUGAAAAAGAACCUGAAACCGUGUACGUACAAGCAGUGGGAGCCCCACCACCAAAGCAUUCUCUGGUGUUGAAGGCCCUGCAAAGCAGCAUCGCGGUGGCGGAGCGUCGUUUGCGACGCCCAACACACAAAACAAGCGGUGAAUGCUUUGGGGUGGGGUGACUGCGUACCUUUUGUAUAAUGGGUCAGCGACUUAUAUUCUGUAGCAAGGUUAACCGAAUAGGGGAGCCGGAGGGAAACCGAGUCUUAAUUGGGCGUUAAGUUGCAGGGUAUAGACCCGAAACCCGGUGAUCUAGCCAUGGGCAGGUUGAAGGUUGGGUAACACUAACUGGAGGACCGAACCGACUAAUGUUGAAAAAUUAGCGGAUGACCUGUGGCUGGGGGUGAAAGGCCAAUCAAACCGGGAGAUAGCUGGUUCUCCCCGAAAGCUAUUUAGGUAGCGCCUCGUGAAUUCAUCUCCGGGGGUAGAGCACUGUUUCGGCUAGGGGGCCAUCCCGGCUUACCAACCCGAUGCAAACUGCGAAUACCGGAGAAUGUUAUCACGGGAGACACACGGCGGGUGCUAACGUCCGUCGUGAAGAGGGAAACAACCCAGACCGC